AGAGUUUGAUCAUGGCUCAGAAUCAACGCUGGCGGCGUGCCUAACACAUGCAAGUCGAACGCGAAAGCGGCUUCGGCCGCAAGUAGAGUGGCAAACGGGUGAGUAACGCGUGGGUGACCUACCUUCGAGUGGGGGAUAACGUUCCGAAAGGGGCGCUAAUACCCCAUAACAUCCUGUCUUUGGAAAGACGGUGAUCAAAGCUGGGGAUCGUAAGACCUGGCGCUUGUUGAGGGGCCCGCGUCCGAUUAGCUUGUUGGUGGGGUAAUGGCCCACCAAGGCGACAAUCGGUAGCCGGCCUGAGAGGGCGAUCGGCCACAUUGGGACUGAGACAUGGCCCAGACUCCUACGGGAGGCAGCAGUGGGGAAUUGUUCGCAAUGGGCGCAAGCCUGACGACGCAACGCCGCGUGGAGGACGAAAACCUUCGGGUCGUAAACUCCUGUCGAGCGGGACGAAUACCACCUGGGUUAAUACCCCGGGUGGCUGACGGUACCGUUAAA
rnacentral:rRNA from 1 species